rnacentral:tRNA from 1 species
GGGCCGGUGGUCUAGGGGUAUGACUCCGCUGGGAAGGCGGAGGUCGAGGGUUCGAGUCCCUCCCGGCCCA